AAUGAACGCUGGCGGCGCGCCUUAACCAUGCAAGUCGAGCGGCAGGCCGCAAUGCCGACAGCGGUGGAGUGGUGGGUAACAGGUUGAUAACGUAGCCCGUUGCCCGGGGCAGCGUGUAGAAUUAGAGGGUAAGACCGGAUAGAUCACUGGUUACGAGAGGGAGACAGCGGGAUCGGAGGUUCGGCCCCGCUACGGGGUCGGUCGGCGGCGGAUCAGCUGGACGGCGGGGUAAAGGCCCGCCGGGGCGAGGACGCGUAUCCGGUCUGAGAGGGAGAACGGACACACUGGAACUGAGAUACGGUCCAGACUCCUACGGGAGGCAGCAGUUGAGAAUAUUCCGCAAUGGGGGGAAGCCUGACGGAGCGACGCCGCGUGAGUGAAGAAGGCCGUAGGGUUGUAAAGUUCUUUUAUGUGGGAGGAAUAAGUUUCGGAGGAAAUGUCGCGGUUGUGACGGUACGGAAGGAAUAAGCACCGGCUAACUACGUG
rnacentral:rRNA from 1 species